GGGCGCGUAGCUCAGCGGUAGAGCAUCGCCUUGACAUGGCGGGGGCCACAGGUUCGAUCCCUGUCGCGCCCA
rnacentral:tRNA from 1 species